AUAUGGUUCUUCUGUUGCAGUCAUGGGUUGUUUUAAGGUGGAGAUAUGGUUCUUCUGUUGCAGUCAUGGGUUGUUUUAAGGCGGAGAUAUGGUUCUUCUGUUGCAGUCAUGGGUUGUUUUAAGGUGGAGAUAUGGUUCUUCUGUUGCAGUCAUGGGUUGUUUUAAGGUGGAGAUAUGGUUCUUCUGUUGCAGUCAUGGGUUGUUUUAAGGUGGAGAUAUGGUUCUUCUGUUGCAGUCAUGGGUUGUUUUAAGGUGGAGAUAUGGUUCUUCUGUUGCAGUCAUGGGUUGUUUUAAGGUGGAGAUAUGGUUCUUCUGUUGCAGUCAUGGGUUGUUUUAAGGUGGAGAUAUGGUUCUUCUGUUGCAGUCAUGGGUUGUUUUAAGGUGGAGAUAUGGUUCUUCUGUUGCAGUCAUGGGUUGUUUUAAGGCGGAGAUAUGGUUCUUCUGUUGCAGUCAUGGGUUGUUUUAAGGCGGAGAUAUGGUUCUUCUGUUGCAGUCAUGGGUUGUUUUAAGGCGGAGAUAUGGUUCUUCUGUUGCAGUCAUGGGUUGUUUUAAGGCGGAGAUAUGGUUCUUCUGUUGCAGUCAUGGGUUGUUUUAAGGCGGAGAUAUGGUUCUUCUGUUGCAGUCAUGGGUUGUUUUAAGGCGGAGAUAUGGUUCUUCUGUUGCAGUCAUGGGUUGUUUUAAGGCGGAGA